rnacentral:rRNA from 1 species
GACGAACGCUGGCGGCGUGCCUAAUACAUGCAAGUAGAACGCUGAAGAGAGGAGCUUGCUCUUCUUGGAUGAGUUGCGAACGGGUGAGUAACGCGUAGGUAACCUGCCUUGUAGCGGGGGAUAACUAUUGGAAACGAUAGCUAAUACCGCAUAACAAUGGAUGACACAUGUCAUUUAUUUGAAAGGGGCAAUUGUUCCACUACAAGAUGGACCUGCGUUGUAUUAGCUAGUAGGUGAGGUAAUGGCUCACCUAGGCGACGAUACAUAGCCGACCUGAGAGGGUGAUCGGCCACACUGGGACUGAGACGCGGCCCAGACUCCUACGGGAGGCAGCAGUAGGGAAUCUUCGGCAAUGGGGGCAACCCUGACCGAGCAACGCCGCGUGAGUGAAGAAGGUUUUCGGAUCGUAAAGCUCGGUUGUAAGUCAAGAACGGGUGUGAGAGUGGAAAGUUCACACUGUGACGGUAGCUGACCAGAAAGGGACGGCUAACUACGUG